GGUUAAGCGAAUAAGCGUACACGGUGGAUGCCUAGGCAAUCAGAGGCGAUGAAGGACGUGCUAAUCUGCGAAAAGCGUCGGUAAGGUGAUAUGAACCGUUAUACCCGACGAUAUCCGAAUGGGGAAACCCAGUAUCCAAUGGAUACUAUCAUUAACUGAAUCCAUAGGUUAAUGAGGCGAACCGGGAGAACUGAAACAUCUCAGUACCCCGAGGAAAAGAAAUCAACCGAGAUUCCCCUAGUAGCGGCGAGCGAACGGGGAGCAGCCCAGAGUCUUAAUCAAUAGCAGUGUCAGGAGAACGGUCUGGAAAGUCCGGCAGUAAAGGGUGAUAGCCCCGUAUCUGAAGAUGCUGUUAUUGUGAACUCGACGAGUAGGGCGGGACACGUGUUAUCCUGUCUGAAUAUGGGGGGACCAUCCUCCAAGGCUAAAUACUCCUGAUUGACCGAUAGUGAACCAGUACCGUGAGGGAAAGGCGAAAAGAACCCCGGCGAGGGGAGUGAAAAAGAACCUGAAACCGUGUACGUACAAGCAGUAGGAGCCUCUUUAUGGGGUGACUGCGUACCUUUUGUAUAAUGGGUCAGCGACUUAUAUUCUGUAGCGAGGUUAACCGUAUAGGGGAGCCGUAGGGAAACCGAGUCUUAACUGGGCGAAUGAGUUGCAGGGUAUAGACCCGAAACCCGGUGAUCUAUCCAUGGGCAGGUUGAAGGUUGGGUAACACUAACUGGAGGACCGAACCGACUAAUGUUGAAAAAUUAGCGGAUGACUUGUGGAUGGGGGUGAAAGGCCAAUCAAACCGGGAGAUAGCUGGUUCUCCCCGAAAGCUAUUUAGGUAGCGCCUCGUGAACUCAUCUUCGGGGGUAGAGCACUGUUUCGACUAGGGGGUCAUCCCGACUUACCAACUCGAUGCAAACUGCGAAUACCGAAGAAUGUUAUCACGGGAGACACACGGCGGGUGCUAACGUCCGUCGUGAAGAGGGAAACAACCCAGACCGCCAGCUAAGGUCCCAAAGUCAUGGUUAAGUGGGAAACGAAGUGGGAAGGCUCAGACAGCCAGGAUGUUGGCUUAGAAGCAGCCAUCAUUUAAAGAAAGCGUAAUAGCUCACUGGUCGAGUCGGCCCGCGCGGAAGAUGUAACGGGGCUAAACCAUGCACCGAAGCUGCGGCAGCGACACAAAGUGUUGUUGGGUAGGGGAGCGUUCUGUAAGCCUGCGAAGGUGUACUGUGAGGUAUGCUGGAGGUAUCAGAAGUGCGAAUGCUGACAUAAGUAACGAUAAUGCGGGUGAAAAACCCGCACGCCGGAAGACCAAGGGUUCCUGUCCAACGUUAAUCGGGGCAGGGUGAGUCGACCCCUAAGGCGAGGCUGAAAAGCGUAGUCGAUGGGAAACGGGUUAAUAUUCCCGUACUGGUGGUAACUGCGAUGGGGGAACGGAGAAGGCUAGGUUGUCCGGGCGACGGUCGUCCCGGUUCAAGCAGGUAGGCAGAGUGAUUAGGCAAAUCCGGUCACUUAAUGCUGAGAUGUGAUGACGAACCACUAAGGUGGUGAAGCAAUUGAUGCCCCGCUUCCAGGAAAAGCCUCUAAGCUUCAGGUUACCAACAAUCGUACCCCAAACCGACACAGGUGGUCAGGUAGAGAAUACUCAGGCGCUUGAGAGAACUCGGGUGAAGGAACUAGGCAAAAUGGUGCCGUAACUUCGGGAGAAGGCACGCUGGCGGUAGGUAAAGUCCCUUGCGGACGGCGCUGAAGCCAGUCGAAGAUACCAGCUGGCUGCAACUGUUUAUUAAAAACACAGCACUGUGCAAACACGAAAGUGGACGUAUACGGUGUGACGCCUGCCCGGUGCUGGAAGGUUAAUUGAUGGGGUUAGCGUAAGCGAAGCUCCUGAUCGAAGCCCCAGUAAACGGCGGCCGUAACUAUAACGGUCCUAAGGUAGCGAAAUUCCUUGUCGGGUAAGUUCCGACCUGCACGAAUGGCGUAAUGAUGGCCAGGCUGUCUCCACCCGAGACUCAGUGAAAUUGAACUCGCUGUGAAGAUGCAGUGUACCCGCGGCAAGACGGAAAGACCCCGUGAACCUUUACUAUAGCUUGACACUGAACAUUGAGCCUUGAUGUGUAGGAUAGGUGGGAGGCUUUGAAGUGUGGACGCCAGUCUGCAUGGAGCCAACCUUGAAAUACCACCCUUUAACGUUUGAUGUUCUAACCUAGGCCCAUAAACUGGGUCGGGGACCGUGUCUGGUGGGUAGUUUGACUGGGGCGGUCUCCUCCUAAAGAGUAACGGAGGAGCACGAAGGUUGGCUAAGCAUGGUCGGACAUCAUGCGGUUAGUGCAAAGGCAUAAGCCAGCUUGACUGCGAGAGUGACGGCUCGAGCAGGUACGAAAGUAGGUCUUAGUGAUCCGGUGGUUCUGAAUGGAAGGGCCAUCGCUCAACGGAUAAAAGGUACUCCGGGGAUAACAGGCUGAUACCGCCCAAGAGUUCAUAUCGACGGCGGUGUUUGGCACCUCGAUGUCGGCUCAUCACAUCCUGGGGCUGAAGUAGGUCCCAAGGGUAUGGCUGUUCGCCAUUUAAAGUGGUACGCGAGCUGGGUUUAGAACGUCGUGAGACAGUUCGGUCCCUAUCUGCCGUGGGCGUUGGAAGAUUGAGAGGGGUUGCUCCUAGUACGAGAGGACCGGAGUGAACGCACCACUGGUGUUCGGGUUGUCAUGCCAAUGGCAUUGCCCGGUAGCUAAGUGCGGAAGAGAUAACCGCUGAAAGCAUCUAAGCGGGAAACUUGCCUCGAGAUGAGUCUUCCCUGUCGCUUUAAGCGACCUAAAGGAACGUUUAAGACUAAGACGUUGAUAGGCUGGGUGUGUAAGCGUAGCGAUACGUUGAGCUAACCAGUACUAAUGAACCGUGAGGCUUAACCUG
rnacentral:rRNA from 1 species